CAUUGUGUUCGCGAGCGGGGCUCGCCGGGAUAUGUAGUUUCCGCUCUCUCCCAGCGGACUUUGCCGGGGGGAAUCGGCUGUGUUACACUAAUUUCGGCAAAUACUCGCCCUGCAGUAGACCCGAGUCCGAGAUUAGAAAAUGCUUUUAGUUGUAGGAGGACUAAAGUUAUCAAGUAAAUUCUGAACGAUAGAAAAAUAAUAGAUUUUUGUUUACGAGCAUUUUAAAAAAUGGUUAAAAAAAAACACCCCAAAUUUCUUGUUAAAGGAAAAGAAUAAUUCCCUCUUCGACGUUCGUGAUGGUGAGAUGGAGAGUAAACCACAUAGAGUCUGUUCUCUUGUCUUUUCAUUUCUUUGGCCCAACUUAUUUCUUGCCUUGACAGUUAGCAGGUGUCUGACUGAAUUCAUCUGGCUAUUCUGAUUCUUCUGAGAGCCAAGCCCCAUGAGCUGGAGAGACUAACCGAGGAGCCUCAGCUGUUAAGACAUAAUCAUCUUACUGAGUCCAUCCAGCGAAAGAAAAAUGAGCACCGCGUAUGUAAUUCAGAUGAAGGGACCAAAUAAAGCUUUCAAUAUGGAAAGUAGAAAUGUAUUUUAAAACGUCAAUGCAAAAACAGUUUUGUU
ensembl:lincRNA